rnacentral:rRNA from 1 species
UACAGAGGGUGCAAGCGUUGUUCGGAAUUACUGGGCGUAAAGCGCGUGUAGGCGGUGAUGUAAGUCGAGUGUGAAAUCCCUUGGCUCAACCAAGGAAGUGCAUUCGAUACUGCGUCGCUUGAGUGCCGGAGGGGAUGGCGGAAUUCCCGGUGUAGAGGUGAAAUUCGUAGAUAUCGGGAGGAACACCUGUGGCGAAGGCGGCCAUCUGGACGGUAACUGACGCUGAGACGCGAAAGCGUGGGUAGCAAACAGG